AGUCUUGCAUCCAAUUUAGUACCAUCUCAAGACAUCAAUGGAGAUAUGGAUGUUUCUGAUCUACUAGAAGGAAAAGGUGAUUCAAGAACUCAUAAAGCAAGACUUUCUGAACCGAUGGGAGAAAACUACAAAAGAAAUACAAAGUGAAAGUGUAUAAGCAUUAGAAAGAAACUCUCAUUUGAAUCAGAUGUAAAAGUCUUAAAGAAACUAGUACGAGAGCAACUUAAGUAUGACACCGUGUAAUGACAAAAUAUUAACUUUUGUUGGUUUGUAUUUGUUGGAUAUUUUGGAUCUCUAGUUUGUUGAAUGUUAUAUGCAAUAUUUAAAGGUUCUACUUUAUUUA